AGAAAACGAGGGGGGGGCAACCAUGCAAUCCUCCCCGGAGUUAAUAUUGUAGCUUGCUAUGGUUACCUUCGUGGCGGACGGGUGAGUAAUGUAUAGGAAUCUACCUAGAUAGUACGGAAUAAUUGUUGGAAACGGCAACUAAUACCGUAUACGCCCUACGGGGGAAAAAUUUAUUGCUAUUUGAUGAGCCUAUAUUAGAUUGCCUAGUUGGUGGAGUAAUAGCCUACCAAGGCAAUGAUCUAUAGCUGAUCUGACAGGAUGAUCAGCCACACUGGAACUGACAUACGGUCCAUACUCCUACGGGAGGAAUCAUUGGGGAAUAUUGGACAAUGGGCGAAAGCCUGAUCCAGCCAUGCCGCAUGAGUGAAGAAGGCCUUUGGGUUGUAAAGCUCUUUUAGUGAGGAACAUAAUGACGGUACUCACAGAAGAAAUCCUGGCUAACUCCGUGCCAGCAGCCCCGGUAAUACAGAGAGGGCUAGCGUUAUUCGGAAUUAUUGGGGCGUAAAGGGCGCGUAGGCUGGUUAAUAAGAUAAAAGUGAAAUCCCGAGGCUUAACCUUGGAAUUGCUUUUAAAACUAUUAAUCUAGAGAUGAAAGAGGAUAGAGAAUUCCUGAUGUAGAGUAAAUUCUAAUAUUAGGAGGAAUCCAGGGGCGAAGCGUCUAUCUGGUUAAAUCUAAGCUGAAGCGGAAGCCUGGGGACCAAACAGAAUACAACCCUGGUAUCCACCCUGUAACAAAAGGUAAAAAGGCGAGUUACCUCCGUUUAACCUAACCGUUAAAAUUCGCCUGGGACCAGUUCCAAUAACUCAAGAAUGAGGGGACCCCAAGCGGGAUAGGGUUAUUAUGACGAAACUA
rnacentral:rRNA from 1 species